rnacentral:rRNA from 1 species
CUUUGUGAACAUACCUAUAACUGUUGCUUCGGCGGGUAGGGUCUCCGCGACCCUCCCGGCCUCCCGCCUCCGGGCGGGUCGGCGCCCGCCGGAGGAUAACCAAACUCUGAUUUAACGACGUUUCUUCUGAGUGGUACAAGCAAAUAAUCAAAACUUUUAACAACGGAUCUCUUGGUUCUGGCAUCGAUGAAGAACGCAGCGAAAUGCGAUAAGUAAUGUGAAUUGCAGAAUUCAGUGAAUCAUCGAAUCUUUGAACGCACAUUGCGCCCGCCAGCAUUCUGGCGGGCAUGCCUGUUCGAGCGUCAUUUCAACCCUCAAGCUCUGCUUGGUGUUGGGGCCCUACAGCUGAUGUAGGCCCUCAAAGGUAGUGGCGGACCCUCUCGGAGCCUCCUUUGCGUAGUAACUUUACGUCUCGCACUGGGAUCCGGAGGGACUCUUGCCGUAAAACCCCCAAUUUUCCAAAGGUUG